GCAUGGUGUGGUUCAAUGGUUUCAGCAUUGGACUACAACUCUGGAAAACAGGGUUCGAUUCCCUGCUCACUCA